rnacentral:rRNA from 1 species
GAUGAACGCUGGCGGCGUGCCUAAUACAUGCAAGUCGAGCGAACAGACGAGGAGCUUGCUCCUCUGACGUUAGCGGCGGACGGGUGAGUAACACGUGGAUAACCUACCUAUAAGACUGGGAUAACUUCGGGAAACCGGAGCUAAUACCGGAUAAUAUAUUGAACCGCAUGGUUCAAUAGUGAAAGACGGUUUUGCUGUCACUUAUAGAUGGAUCCGCGCCGCAUUAGCUAGUUGGUAAGGUAACGGCUUACCAAGGCGACGAUGCGUAGCCGACCUGAGAGGGUGAUCGGUCACACUGGAACUGAGACACGGUCCAGACUCCUACGGGAGGCAGCAGUAGGGAAUCUUCCGCAAUGGGCGAAAGCCUGACGGAGCAACGCCGCGUGAGUGAUGAAGGUCUUCGGAUCGUAAAACUCUGUUAUUAGGGAAGAACAAAUGUGUAAGUGACUAUGCACGUCUUGACGGUACCUAAUCAGAAAGCCACGGCUAACUACGUG